AAUAGAAUAAAAACUAUUAAAUAAAAUAUUGCAUAAAUUUAUAAUUCAGUUAUUCAAAAUAACUAUAUUAAUAUACAAAAGAUUUUUAUAUUGCAAGAUGCUAAAGCUGACAAUAAAGUUAUAAAGUUUUUCAAAAGAUAGAUAGAGACAAACAUACUUCCUACAAUUCUAUGUCUAUAUAUAUAGUUGUAUUCUCAUUUUUAUAUUGAGCAAAAUCUUAUUUCUCCA
rnacentral:lncRNA from 1 species